AAUAACCCAUAUUUCUCUUGGUUUUAGAUUCACAAAAUGAUUUCCUUAUCCUGGCCCACUGAGGUUGGCAAUGGCAGUGUUACAGACCUGAGAAACAACCUCUUUGACCCAUCCCAGCAGGGAUCCAACCAGCAGACUGACAGCAAGCGGGGGAGUGACUCAUAGAAGGGCUGCGCCAAACCCGGCAGCCACCUGGGUGAAAAGAAAGGGAAGAAUGGCGGUCCUCGCCACUGUCUCCCCAGGCACUGGGACAGCGGAGGAAGCUUUCACUUUUGUGGGGUUUAGUUCUUUAGUCCCUAAUAUCUUUUUUCAGUAAAUACUCUUUUGUAAAAACUAAGUCUCCUUCAACUGCUGACACUUCCAAAGGAGCAGGAGGGAGAAUCCUGGGAAAGGCAGAGCCCGGGUCUUAUUUACUGGCACCAGUGCCAGGGAAGGUGAGAGCCGGGGGCCAUUGUCUGCAGCUCGCGGGUGCCCCAGCCUGAGAACUGGCCUCCGCCCUGCCGAACAAUGGCCCGGAGGAAGUCCAAGGCCGGAGCCAGAAGCUUUGGCUUCCUUGCCGGCUCCCCCGCGUCCCUCUCUAUUAAGAGUCUCACUUUAAAAGCACCAGACUGAAGCGCUUUUAAUCUUAUUUUGAGGGAUUUUCUUUAUAUCAAUUUUAUUUUCCUUUCCUCAGCCCAGUCAGUGAAACACCCCUCAUGACAAAGACUAAAAAGGAAAGGGGGAGAAAAGGCAGCUCCCUCAGUAAACCCAAACAACACACUGUUGGGUCUGACAGCGUAUGCGAUAUUCUACCCCGUGGUCCCCCACCUCUGCCGGGGAGAGGGAGGGAGAAGAAAAGCCCCAGCUCUGGAGGCUGAAGACCUCUGCUACAAUCUGACUCUCCUCACUGCUUGUGGGACUGGGCUCUACCGGAAAAACGAGGAGAUCUGGAGGAGGGGGCCCCAGGAAGCAUUCUGCGUGUAAUCGGGAAGCCCCGAGUUCACAUACUUCCCAGUCCUCUGCAAGUUUAAAGGCCCCGGUGGGGCUUGCUCAGAGCCUGAGCUCCCUGAGCCGGCAGGAAGCUUGAUUCAGAGGAGCCCAAGCCCUUUCCACACGCUGGGUGCGCAUGGCGGCCGUGAUAAGACUUGGGAGCAAUAGAAGCAAGGAAGAGGAGAAUAGAGGGAGGAAGGAAGGGGCUGGGAGAAGGGAAAGAGUAAGGAAGAAAAGAUGGCCCGAGGCUGACGCUGGAUGCCUGGCUUCCGGUCAGAGCUCUCUUCCUGACUACUUCCUCUCCUUGGACCUCAGUGUCCCCUUGUGUACAAUGAUGGUACUGGACCUAUGUGCCUGUGGAUUACGUCCUGCCUUUCCCUGGGCCUCAGUUUCCCCUUGUGUACAAUGAUGGUACUGAAUCUAUAUGCCUGUGGAUUACGUCUUGCCUUUCCCUGGGCCUCAGUUUCCCCUUGUGUACAAUGAUGGUACUGGGACCUAUGUGCCUGUGGAUUACGUCCUGCCUUUCCCUGGGCCUCAGUGUCCCCUUCUGUACAAUGAUGGUACUGGACCUAUGUGCCUGUGGAUUACGUCCUGCCUUUCCCUGGGCCUCAGUUUCCCCUUGUGUAAGGCGCCGGACAGAGCAUCCAAAACGCCCUACAGCAAGGCGGUUAGGAAACUGAGGCGAAGUCAUUCGAUGGGCUUAGACCACAGCGCAAGGCCCUUGCGCCCUUAGCACGCAGCUUGGCUCACGGGAGGAACUUUAACGAAGGCUCCGAGACGAGGGGGUCCCGGCCGUCCGAGGUGCGAUUCGAACUCGGCUCCUCCACUCCGGGCUUCCUCCCAAGGCUUAACUCCCCACCCAGAGGGCCCUUCCUGGGGGGAUGAGAACCCGCCCCCCCUUCAUCCCGGGUAGCCCUUGGCACGGCCCGACUCCGGCCUGGGGGGGGGUCUGGGGAGGGCCACCGGAGGAGCCCCGUCUGUUGCUUAAGCCUGUUUUUGAGGCGACUCAUUUACGCCAGUUCCGGCCGAGCUCAGACGCGCCCGGGAGGGCUGCUGGGAAGAGGCUGACCACAGCCGGAGCCGCCUGCCUCCUCGCAGCGUGUGAUGCUUUUGGUCUCAGAAAUCGGAGCCCGGUUGCAAAACUCAUUUCCCGCAGGGCUCCCCCGGCUAGGUCAGCUGGAGGAAGCCCAGGGCGGGCCUCUUCCCCAGGAGGGAAGAACGAAGGCCAACGCAUCAGCGGGGAUUGUCUGCCGCCCAGGGAAGGGGAGGGGGGCCGGGAAGCGACCCCCCCCACUCCCCCUCCCCGCCAAGAUCCAGAUCCAAAUCCCGCCCCAGGGAUGGGCAAGACACUUUGCUAUCCCAGAGCUCGGUAGAAUGCUGGGAUAAGAUUAUGUGACCCAUGAUAUCCUUCCAGCCCUAAAUCUUUGACGAGGUCAUGGACUCUCUGUGCCUCAGCUUUUCCAUCUGUAAAGUGGGGUUCUCUCUCACAGAGCUCACAGGGACACAGAUUAGAGCUGGAAGGGGCCACCAAGACCAUCCAAUCCAAGCCUUUCAAUUUUUUUUUUUCCAGAAGAAGCUAAUGCGGUCCAAAGACACCAAGUAAUUUGUCCAAGGUGACCUGUAGAAUAAUAUCUGGAACACCUUAGAGCUCCACCCAUCCAUCCUUUUCCACUGGAUGGAGGAGGGAAUUGAUAAUCCGGGAAGAGCUGGGGUGGAAACUCCAGGCAUCCAGACCCCAAAA